CGGGUUCAAAGGGCCGCAGCCCCGAGGGAAUGCCCUACUCGCGGUGCCCCGGGCUGCAGAAGCGGACUGCAGGGCGGUGGGACCGGCCUGGGCCACGGUGAUAUCACAAGCAAUCCUUUCCUUCCGUCACAAACUGUCGACAAAACAAAACAAAACAAAACUGGCUCUGGCACCCACUCGGUAUUCUAAGGUGGCUUCCCUGGGGGUCGACCAGGUUAUGACAAGCUGCAGAGAGACUCGGAGAACUCCUCAGAAGGAGCGGCGCGUGGAAUAAAAAAUGCUGGAGAUGUCUGGACGACAGAGCGAAGACUGGCUUCAAAUGAGAGGUGUGAGGACCGAGUUGCAGUCUGCGGCCAGGCCUGGGGACCCCGUGGCACUGUCCCCCUCUGCAGCCCGGGGACCCCGCAGCGCUGUCCCGCUCUGCAGUCCGAGCUCCCGUCCUCCCGUGUCCCCGGGCUGUAAGGGGUCCCUCAGCAGGUGCCAGCCCACUCCUGAGCCCAGCACUUGCUACUUUGUAUUUUCGGUUAUCCGCAGACAGGAAACCGCAUUUCCCGUCCUCAAAGGCUCCGUUUUCUUUCUGCAUCUCCGAGAACAGGCGUGCGCCUAGACAACCAAGGUCCCUUCUCAAAUAAACCUCCCCCAAGAUUUUCUGGAACUGUCUUAUUUUCUCUCUGAGUUUCCCUCUUCUCACCUAAGUUAAAACAGGAGAGAAUACGGUCACUCCCGAGAUGCAGGUUUUCUGCGACAUGCGGAACUCCGUGGGACUCUCUGAGAAGCCCCCCCACCCCGCCCGCAGCCCCAGCUCUUUAGGAUUUCUCUGGUCAGCUGAUUUUGUAGAGUGGGGAACUCGUCCUCCCUCACCUUUGGCCACUCAAAAACAGCUUGGUCUGUGAGAGUGACUGGACCUCAAAAUCAGCACCCCCCCUCCAGUGGAAACGCAGAUUGCAGGAAUGCGGGGGCGGUUCAGCUUGGGUGGGGACAGUUACCUAGGGAAAUGCAGGCAGAAAGAAUGGAGAGCAGCCCUGUGCUCCAGGUUCAUCCCCAUCCUCACCUAGAGAUGGAAUUAAUAAUUUCAAAAGCAAGACUCCUGACAAAUUUCGUUUCCUUGAAGGAUUUUAGCUCAAUUGAGCUCAUUAAACUAGAAAGUUUUCUGCAAGCAAUACUUCCGGCACUAUGCAUACACUUAAAAAUAAAUGACAGAUCCCCCCCUCCUUAAAAGAAUCUAUGCAAACGUGCGAACAAUCUCCUCUGACUGUAGUUGAGGAAGGAGCGGUGCAGAUAAAAAUUGCGAAUAUGAAGCUAGUGGGCAUAAGUUUUUCCCACUUAAAGGAGGACAGACUCCUGCCCAGUGUUUGAAAAUUUACUCAAGCUCUAGCUUGUGGUUUAGUUGGAUAAAAUGUAACAACCUGAAACAUUUUAAUUGUAAGUUUCAAAUAGUCUAUUUCUUGGAGAGAGGAUCUUGGAUACAUUUUACUCCCCCCUCUCCUCUGACCAAACUAAAGAGCUCCUCCCAACCCAGUUUUCUCAGCUCAGACUUAACAUUUAAUUAUACAUUUUCCCCCAGAACUAUUUAUUCUCCUCCUGUCGGGAGUGUGCCUGAUUUUUGUAAAGCUUCUCCCCCAGGAACUCUCUGAUCUCCCCACAACUUAUGUCAGACAUAUCAACAGAUCUCCAUCUGAAAUUUGUGAUAGAAAUUGAAGAAAGCUCUUAUUACAGAAAGUGUACUCUGAGUACUUCAAUACAAGGGAACUUCUGCAAAAAACUUAAAGUCAAAAUCAAACAUCGUGGGGUGAAAUGAAUGGAAAAGACUCCCAGAUACAAGGGAACUUUGUAGAACACUGAAGCCCCAAAAUGAAGGGA